rnacentral:rRNA from 1 species
GAUGAACGCUGGCGGCGUGCCUAAUACAUGCAAGUCGAGCGAACAGAUGAGGAGCUUGCUCCUCUGACGUUAGCGGCGGACGGGUGAGUAACACGUGGAUAACCUACCUAUAAGACUGGGAUAACUUCGGGAAACCGGAGCUAAUACCGGAUAAUAUAUUGAACCGCAUGGUUCAAUAGUGAAAGACGGUUUUGCUGUCACUUAUAGAUGGAUCCGCGCCGCAUUAGCUAGUUGGUAAGGUAACGGCUUACCAAGGCAACGAUGCGUAGCCGACCUGAGAGGGGGAUCGGCCACACUGGAACUGAGACACGGUCAAGACGCCUACGGGAGGCAGCAGUAGGGAAUCUUCCGCAAUGGGCGAAAGCCUGACGGAGCAACGCCGCGUGAGUGAUGAAGGUCUUCGGAUCGUAAAACUCUGUUAUUAGGGAAGAACAAAUGUGUAAGUAACUAUGCACGUCUUGACGGUACCUAAUCAGAAAGCCACGGCUAACUACGUG